UUAAGACUAUCAGCACCACACAGCUCUCUUUGUAUUUCUCGGUAUGGCUCUGUUCAGAAGAUGGUGGCGUCCAGAAACUACGCACU